rnacentral:rRNA from 1 species
GGCUCAGAAUGAACGCUGGCGGCGUGCCUAACACAUGCAAGUCGCACGAGAAAGGGGGCUUCGGUUCCCGAGUAAAGUGGCGCACGGGUGAGUAACGCGUGGGUGACCUACCCUGGAAUCUGGGAUAACACUGCGAAAGUGGUGCUAAUACCGGAUACGACCCCAUCGCAAGGUGGGGUGAAAGUCGGCCUCUCGAAGAAGCUGAUGUUCCGGGAUGGGCUCGCGUCCUAUCAGCUAGUUGGUAGGGUAACGGCCUACCAAGGCGACGACGGGUAGCUGGUCUGAGAGGAUGAUCAGCCACACUGGCACUGAAACACGGGCCAGACUCCUACGGGAGGCAGCAGUGAGGAAUUUUGCGCAAUGGGGGCAACCCUGACGCAGCAACGCCGCGUGGGUGAAGAAGGUCUUCGGAUCGUAAAGCCCUGUCAGGUGGGAAGAAUGUCUUCAAGGUGAACAAUCUUGGAGAGUGACGGUACCACCAGAGGAAGCACCGGCUAACUCCGUGCCAGCAGCCGCGGUAAUACGGAGGGUGCGAGCGUUGUUCGGAAUCAUUGGGCGUAAAGGGCGUGCAGGCGGCUGGGUAAGUCUGAUGUGAAAGCCCGGGGCUCAACCCCGGAAGUGCAUUGGAAACUGUCCAGCUUGAGUACCGGAGAGGAUGGGGGAAUUCCCGGUGUAGAGGUGAAAUUCGUAGAGAUCGGGAGGAAUACCAGUGGCGAAGGCGCCCAUCUGGACGGAUACUGACGCUGAGACGCGAAAGCGUGGGGAGCAAACAGGAUUAGAUACCCUGGUAGUCCACGCUGUAAACGAUGAGCACUAGGUGUAGCGGGUAUUGACCCCUGCUGUGCCGCAGCUAACGCAUUAAGUGCUCCGCCUGGGGAUUACGGUCGCAAGACUAAAACUCAAAG